GGGAGUAUGGUGAAAUCGGUAGACACAAGGGAUUUAAAAUCCCUCGGCUGUAAGGCUGUACGAGUUCGAGUCUCGUUACUCCCACCA
rnacentral:tRNA from 1 species